rnacentral:lncRNA from 1 species
CUCAAGGCUAUCGUAUUCAGAGCCAUUAACAAGCUCACCUUCUGCAUUUUGUUUGGGUCUUAGUCACUUAGAACCCUGUACCCAGAUGUGACUAGGGCCCCACAGAUGAACCAAAUGCCCAGAAGACAUGAUCGUGUAAGAGUUAGAAUUCCGACUUGAUAUCUCCAGAAAGGGUACUUUUCAGCCCCAUUUUUUUGUUUGUUUGUUUCUAAGUCAUUGUUUCCCUUUUUCCUCCCCUCCCUCUUUCUUUCCUUUCCUGUUUCCUUCAUUUCUUUCUUUCUCUUUUUUUCUUUUACACAAAGUCAACACAAUCAUGGUUCUACUGCUUCAUUCUGGAUCCUGCUCCAUGUGAAGAGGAAGUCAAAUCCUGAUUAAUUUAAGGGAAGAGGGCAUCAUCUUUGCUGGAACCAGAAAUCUUCCUACACAGGUUGAGAGCAGAGACUUCAGCUUGGCUUAGGUUCAUAGAAGAGGGUAAAGGACCUACCUGAAAUGUCUCAGGCAACGGAUCAUAUCAUAGGUCCAAGAAGGAAGGGGCCCUACAGUGCCUUCAUUCCAACUGACCUCCCCAGCAGAGAUCAUCUGACAGUCAUCUUACCUGCCUGCCUAUUUCUUAGAAGCUGUUACAAAGAGG